rnacentral:tRNA from 1 species
UCCCAGGUGGUUCAGUGGUAAAGAAUUCACUUGCCAAGCAGGAGACUCAGAUUCAAUCCCUGGCUUGGGAA